rnacentral:rRNA from 1 species
UACGUAGGGUGCAAGCGUUAAUCGGAAUUACUGGGAGUAAAGCGUGCGCAGGCGGUGAUGUAAGACAGUUGUGAAAUCCCCGGGCUCAACCUGGGAACUGCAUCUGUGACUGCAUCGCUGGAGUGCGGCAGAGGGGGAUGGAAUUCCGCGUGUAGCAGUGAAAUGCGUAGAUAUGCGGAGGAACACCGAUGGCGAAGGCAAUCCCCUGGGCCUGCACUGACGCUCAUGCACGAAAGCGUGGGGAGCAAACAGG